rnacentral:pre_miRNA from 1 species
UCCAAACUAGUCAUUUGUUAUUUUCCAAUCGGUUCUUAGUGUGUUAAAAUUUUAUAAGAACUAAUAAGAAAAUGACAAGUGACUAGUUUUGG